UGCUCUUGUUUUUGGUUUGGUUACAUGU
rnacentral:sRNA from 1 species